CAUUACCGUAAACAUAUGUGAUUUUGAGUGUCAAAACUCGUAACAUUAUGUACGGCAAUCUGUUGAACGCAAAAGUCGCUCGAUCGUAGAGAUCAUUAAGAGAGACGGCAAACAUAUACCAAACGAUACGCUAAGUUCAGUGAUCAUUAGGUGCACACACACUAUACGGUGAGUGUGUACGAGAGCGGCCGAUCACGAUUCAUGGGCUAUGUAUCGGUGUUUGUGUCAGUCGACAAACAAGAGAUAUCAAUGAGGUGUCUAGUCUGUGUGUUAUGCCUACAGCUUUGGCUACGGUCAUUGGUGAGCACUUUGUCGCAGACAAAGUCAGGCAACAGAGUGAUUGUGUAUAAGAGUGCGCUCUAUCGCUAUCGCUAGGCUUAAUUAUGGCCGGCGCAAUGCCGCAUUGAUAUGCUCUGUGUGCGCUUUAAGUUGAAAAGUGCUUUAAAAAUAAUGGAAAAUAACAAAAUGCAGUACAACUGCAAACGGUGGAUCACUCGGCUCGCUGUUCGAGGAAAAACGCAGCUAGCUGCGAUAAGCGGUGUGAAAUGCAGGAAACGCCGAGCACUUGAUUUUUGAACGCAAAUGGCAGCCCCGGGUCUUUCCCGGGGCUACUUUUGCCUAAGGGUCGUUAUCAAAAUAAAAAC
rnacentral:misc_RNA from 1 species